AGGACGAACGCUGGCGGCGUGCUUAACACAUGCAAGUCGAGCGGAAAGGCCUUUCGGGGUACUCGAGCGGCGAACGGGUGAGUAACACGUGAGUAAUCUGCCCAUCGCUUCAGGAUAGCCAUCGGAAACGGUGAUUAAUACUGGAUAUGACAUUCCUUCGCAUGUUGGGGUGUGGAAAGUUUUUCGGCGGUGGAUGUGCUCGCGGCCUAUCAGCUUGUUGGUGGGGUAAUGGCCUACCAAGGCUUUGACGGGUAGCCGGCCUGAGAGGGUGACCGGCCACACUGGGACUGAGACACGGCCCAGACUCCUACGGGAGGCAGCAGUGGGGGAAUAUUGGACAAUGGG
rnacentral:rRNA from 1 species